rnacentral:tRNA from 1 species
GAGGGUAUAGCUUAGUGGUAAAGCGCAUGCUUAGCAUGCACCAGGUCCUAGGUUCGAUCGCCAGUACCUCCA